rnacentral:rRNA from 1 species
GACGAACGCUGGCGGCGUGCUUAACACAUGCAAGUCGAACGGAAAGGCCCUGCUUUUGUGGGGUGCUCGAGUGGCGAACGGGUGAGUAACACGUGAGUAACCUGCCCUUGACUUUGGGAUAACUUCAGGAAACUGGGGCUAAUACCGGAUAGGAGCUCCUGCUGCAUGGUGGGGGUUGGAAAGUUUCGGCGGUUGGGGAUGGACUCGCGGCUUAUCAGCUUGUUGGUGGGGUAGUGGCUUACCAAGGCUUUGACGGGUAGCCGGCCUGAGAGGGUGACCGGCCACAUUGGGACUGAGAGACGGCCCAGACUGGUACGGGAGGCAGCAGUGGGGAGUAUUGCACAAUAGGCGGAAGCCUGAUGCAGCAACGCCGCGUGCGGGAUGACGGCCUUCGGGUUGUGAACCGCUUUCGCCUGUGACGAAGCGUGAUUGACGGUAAUGGGUAAAGAAGCACCGGCUAACUACGUG